GCAGGGCGCGCUCUGAAGAGCCCCCCCCUCGCCCAUGGGCCCGCCCCCAGUAGCUCCGAUCCCGCCCCUUCUUUGGGGCGCGCUCCGUAGAGUCUCUGAGCUGGACUGGACCCAUGGCUCAUCCCGUUUCGGUGCGGAUCCAGCGCAGCGCCCGCGCCCGGCGUGCCUAAAGAGCUGUCACGCUGAGACUUUCUCCAGGAGCUGGGGCGGAGUGCUGAUAUUUUUAUAGCAGCAGAGUGUGCCAGAGGCCAGCAGCUGCUCGGGACAAGCCCUCUCUUUCUGCUGCCCUGGACACUGCUAAAAUGAAUAGUGCAGAAAAUCACUCCUGAGAUCUGGAAACUCAUCUUUUUCCAUGGAAGGCACUGCUAGGCUGCUUCACCACAGUCCUGGAGAAUGGAUGAUGGCUGUCUGAUGAUGCACUGGAACCUGGGCACUUGCUUGUCAUCCCACUCUUGCAACCCUCCCAGGAACUGUGUGGCUCCUUUGGUCAGAGAAGGACUGUAACAGAGGCCUGACUCUUUCCUGUUGAUGUUUAGCUUUUCAAUCUUAACGUUGGUAGCAUAUAUUCUCCUAACAUGGAAGAGAAGAAACUUAAUGAAAGUGAUUAUACAUGUAAGGAUCAAUCCAUGUACACAUGGAGAAAAUAUUUAAUGUGCCAGACCCUGAAAUUAUGUGCUAAGCAAUGAAAUAAAGUGGCAAGCCA